AUGGUAUAGUCUUGCAUGUCUGAGCAGCAGACGGCGAGACAGCAGCAAUCUGCUACAGCAGCCUCAUGUGCUAGUGCGAAUGAUCCAUUCAACAAAGCCUGAGCUAGCAGCACUAAAACCUCUUCCUCUGCUUCCCUCUCCAGCUAUCUCUUUCAUCGCAGAUCUCUCUUUCUCUGUUCGUCUGGCCACAUCCUCCGCUCCUCUGCUCCUCUGACCGGCACAGACGUACAGCGAGGACUGCGGCAGCCUUCACCACCUCUGUCAGCUGGGUGAGCUUUCUCCUUUCGCUCCUUCCUCACAUCUUGCCUUCACCCUCCUUUUCCCACCCAGUUUUAUCUCCCUGUGCUUUCCCCUCCGUAAAAUCAAAACUGCAUGAUUGACAGGGGUGGUCUCGCUGGGAUGACAACGCUGGCAUGUCAGGGGGAUGGUAUAUCUCAUAACUGUAAAUGGAAAGAAGCUUUGGCUUUUUUAGCAACGUGGAGAGAUUUUUAACCGUGGCGGUCCAGUUGUAGGACCCCGCUGCUCUCCUUGUUGUGUAGUUGUUGCAUGCAGUGUGCAGGAUUUUGGCAUGUUCAGUGAGAAAUCAAAGAUAAUCAGACCACUGUUUGGCUGAGCCAGGCUGUGGCAGCGACAGGGAGGCCGAAAUACGCUGAGGCAGAACCCCUCUUAUGAACAUCAUGUGAUGAUUAAGUGCUGUCUGCCUGUCUGUCUGUCUGGGUUAGUUUCGCUAUAUAGUGGCAGCACAAGUGUUCAUACUAUAUACCUGUUAUCACUUGCAGUGUGAUGAUUUGUGGUGAGGUUCAUUUGUGUGAUGUGAUUUGCUUGUGAUACACAAUGUGAAACGGUACUUUGGCCCGUGUUCAGAUCACAAUGUCGCUUAUCGUCUAAAAACGUCAUGAAUGAGGCGAUGCAAGUGUGUCGGGGUAGUGCGGACUUGACUUACUGAUCCCAAACUGGAUUUAGAGACAAAACUUACACUCAGGGAAGAGAACAGCACAGAGCUAGGAAGAGAGGAAGCUGGCAUUGUCUGCUCCAGUCUCUGCCACAGUGCUCAUGCAGCAGAUGAUCUACUGUUUGUCGCAUAUGAAAAAAGCCCUUAAAAAAAAAACAACAACCUGUACCUCUCUCAUUCCCUGAGACCCUAACUUGUGACGUUUUCCUGUGAUGUGCACGGGUUGGGUUCUUGGGAGCUGCGAGGGGCACUCACACAUCUCUGUAAGCAAAAGCUAAAAAAAAAAAAAAAAGACUAACAUGGCGGAAAGACAAAGCGAAGCAAAGAGGGGGACGGCUUCCCUUUUCUGAAGCUAGGCUCGGCGAUGGGGAAAUGUACGUGUCAUCCACCCACGCCGCGAAAAAACAGCGAAAGAGGGGAUGGAAAGGGAAGAACACUUUUUUUUUUGCGUUACACGAACGAGUUGGACCCAGAGGCAGGCACAGCGUGUGGGGCGUGGGGUGUGGGGUGGGGGAGAUGGAUAGAGGAAUGUGGGUAUGAAGGACAUGUGACUGGGAUAGAGGGAUGUCCAGACAAGGUGGGGGUGACGUGUCCAAACACUGAGUCGUUUACUGUAUCCCUGUGUUUUGGGCAGGUACAAUUAAUGAAUGAGAAAUUUGUGAAGGUUACACCCACAGUGACUAAUACUACACGUGCUCACACAGACCGACAGCACAAGGACCUCAGUCAGACUGUUGAACACACACUGCGCUGUGUAUACUGUACAGACACACAGUCAUAAUUCGUAGAAACACACUGACAGUAUGUUGAUGAAGUUGUCUUUGUGUAUCACAAGGGAAAAACCCCAUUGUGUAAAUAAUUACGAUUCGUGCUUUUCGUCCUGUUAAUCAAACGAAAGUCGCAGUUUCCUCAUGACACUUCUUCACGCCUUAUCUUGAGAGCAGCACAAAGUACUGGUGAGAGCGUGACCCUGAAAGCUCAGUACACUUGUGUUUGACCUCAUGAAAAUUCUCAUCUUUCUGUUUUACGCAUCCGUCGGCGUGUGCCUCCUCGCUCCUUAAUCAGGGUAGUAAAUAAAAGGCGUACAUAAUCCAUGUAUGACACAUGUAUGUGUGUGCAGCAGGGUGACACCCCCAUGGUCGCCGGGUCAUUAAACCAGGGUUUGAACACAAAAUGACUAUAUAAACAAUCGUAGUGUUCACUGUGUUUUUUAAGUGGCUCUUAAAAUGAGAGUUCGUAUUCGGUCGAUGGUUCACUUAAUGUACGUGUUCAGCUAGCGGUCACUGUAUCAUGCAUAAGACUACUGUUGUCUCACUCCUCACUGUUCUGGAAAAAACUGCCGCUCAGUAUGUUGUAAUGUGUCUGGAGGCAAAUGUCUGUUUCUAUAAUUGGUGGUUGAUCUGUGAUCACAGCAACAGCUUCAUUUCCAGCUCUUACCCACACCUCCUGUAUAUGUAACCCUUUACAUGUCUGCUUCCUUCUCUUCAGCCACUCUGAAGUUUGCUCUCUCCCUCUUUCAGGGAGCUUCAGCGGCACUCAAACGAGGGAUGCUUUUUUGAUGUUUUGUCCUCAUUCUUUCAUUAGCUUGUAUUAUGCAGGAUGUGAUGCGGUGAUUAUGUGGUUGAAGGACAGGUAGCUUUGAGCUCUGAUUCUAUUUUCAGCUUUGAUUUGAAGGAAUUUUUAGCCAUGUCUGAUGAAUGCUUGAAGAAACAGCUGACAUUUUUUGUUACAACCCCCCCUACCCCACCUCAAGCAAUUCAUAAAAGCUCUCUUAUUUUGGUGGUCAACUGCUUCUGAGGAGUAAUGACUUCAUAAUGUCUUUAACUCACUCACACUCUCAUGCACCUUGUAUCCUACUGGGAGUUUUGCACCACAGCAUGGUUUCAGUUUACUGGAUGAGAGGAUGCAGGAUGUGUUAGUUUUUUUUUGUUAAAGUGAAGCAGCAUGUGAUACCUGAAAUCAUCUUCUCAAUCAUAACCACCUCCAUCGAUAGAGGGAGAAAACUGCAAUGUUGAGGGGAGUCUGGCUAAGCAUGUGUUAAUCUGAGGUACAUGUUAAAUCCAUAUUUUGUUUGCAGCUUUAAUUGUGUUUGCCAGUUACUCUUCACUCCUGAGGUUUAUGAGUGUGUGAUCCUCGCAUUUUCAAACGUUUUCUAACGCCAUUUCUCAAUCUCUUUGCGGCGAGCGUCGCAGAGAGAGUCAGUGAGGGAUGGUUCGUCAUCUUUCUCUUCUCAUAUGUGCUAAAAUGUAAAUGUGAUCAUGUGAUGUCAGCGGGGUUUCCUUCUCUGAGCAGCAGUAGGUCACGGUGUCACUGUUUUCCUUGUUCAGCAGAAACAUUGCAAUGAAAGAUUACAUCCAGACAGACAGCGAUGAAAAGGAAACAAACAUAAAACAUGAAGAAUAUUUGCAGAGCGGCUGCUGAUUUGAUUUCUGUUUGGGUCUGAAAUGCCAUCUCUGCUCCGACCAAAAGUAACAGCCGAGGAAAAGGAAAGCAAUAACUUUCAUGCGUGCCAUUCAAGCAUCACACUAUGUGUAUGUAUGUGUGUGUGUGUGUGUCUGCGAUCGGUGUGUCUGUGUGUGCAUGCACCAGCCACAUUAUUGAGACCUCCCACUACAGCCUUGCCCCCCGGCCUCUGCUGGAUUUCUUUCCAACUUGUAAAAUGGCCGACCGAUGAAAGAAGCACAGAUCUUUCAAUUUCUUAAAUUUACAGCCUGUGAGUGUUUUCUAUUUAUUUAUCUAUUUUCAGUAGAUGUAGAGAAAAUUCGAGUGCAGGAAAUGGAUUGACAAGUAAUCAUAGCAACUGUCAAUCCUUGAGAUUUUGGACUGACAGAAUUUGGAUGAAUCAGGGUGAAUGUAGAUCAGCUAUUUAUUUUUUCUGCCUUCUCUGCCUGUUUUUUAGAUAAAAAUUCAAUCUUGUUAUCGAUUUCUGAACAGUUCUUCACUUCAGUUGUCGAGAAGUACAUACAGAAACCUUGUCCUGGUGUUUCAAAAUGUUUGGCUGCACUAAAAUCGGGGCUGUACUGUAAACCACCAAACAACCCUCAGGGAUUUGCUGCUGAGGAAACUGGGAGCAAACCUCAAAUGUAAAAUGCAGUUUUCAUGUUUCAUGUCUCAAUGCAUGAAUAAACACAUCUGUUGUGUGUGUGUGCGUGUGCAGCAUAUGUCAGGGAGUAUGGUUUUGUCAGCUUUCUGCCUCCUCUCCUCUCCUCUGUCAUUUCCAGCUCUUUCUCUGUGCUGUGAUCUCACUCACACUCUCACGGCACAGGGGAUGAGUCCUCAGAUGCCCUCUGAUCGCUGCAUGAGAGGCUGGACGCAUGUUUGAAUCUGCCUCUGUCUCUCUCGUUUUCUCUCUGCUUGGUACAGUGGCUGCUGCUGUUGCUCCAGCGGCAGGAGCAGGUGUGUCUACCUCCUGUGUUGCCCCCCCUCCUUCCUGUUCCCUUAUCACUGCAGUACGGCAGCUCUGUCUGGGAGGCAGCCAUUCCAUUGUUCUCGCGCCCCCUGCACCUAUCGGUGCCCCUGUGGGUGCCGUCUCCGCUCUGCCCGCCCCUACCGGUAGAUGGGACUGGCUCCAAAUCACUGUGAUACUUGGCCCUUGGUGCCCUGAGCAAGUUACGCUCUGUUACUCAGGCUUUCUGUCUCUUUCCUCCCUGGACAGAGCUCAGUACUCUGCUGCAGACCGCCGCCAUCUUGUUACUGCUUGUGCUGCUGGUCUGCUGCCUCUGCUGCGCUCAUACCAAAUCGAACCCAGCCUCAACUGUUUGAAAGUGUCUCACUUCUUCUACAAUUGUUGUCCUCCAUGCUUGUCUUUAUCACAACGCACUCUCAGAUAAGUGAAGCUUUUUGAACACAUGCAUCAAACCUGAUGAUUUAUGCUGCCGACACGAUCAUCGCUACUCACAGUGAAUUUAUUCCUCUCUCUGCAAAUAAGUUGAUAUUUUUGGAGUAUAAGACAUACUCAUAUCUGAACCAAUGUCUGGUUCAGGAAGCCCAAAUAAUACCGAUCACAACUGUAAAUGUAGCAUCAAUCACUUACUGUUACUAACAUGAUUCAACGUGAAGACCAACCACCAAAGAGAGUUAAGUAAAACUGGGACUGCUAUUUUACAGAUUCACAAAUCCCACUUGGUAAUAGACGGCUAUUAAACGUCUAGUUUUUUUGGUUAGACCUAAUUUCAACCGUCUAGAUACUGUAUAGAUGAAAUUUAGACGUUGCACUUUAACCCAUUAUUCGAUAACUGUUUGAUCAAAAAGCAACUGUAAUUUAGACGUCUCAUAAACUUUCAUUUUUAGACCUGUGGUAGCCUGAUUUUAGACCAGUCCUCUAGGCUACAUUUUGACGUCUAUUAGACCUCUUUUAGACCAAAAAAUGCUCAGUGGGAUGAUGUUAUUAAAAAUCUAAUUUUUGCAUUUGAUGCUGAUGGAAAGGUAACAUCUGCAUCCCAGUCCAUCUCUGAUACGGGGGGAGUUCAUGCAGCCCUGUAGGUAGCACAUAAAUGCUGUCUGAACAUGUGCAGCUGUAUUUGGAGGGAAUACAAAUGAUCCAAUCACUUUUUAUAUUCGGAUCAAGUACUUUUUUUAUCAUCUAUGUGUCACAUAUUUACUCUUGCCAAAAAGAAGCCUCACACUUCUCUCAGCAGAAUAUGAUAGCAGAUAUGAGUCAAAGACAAACAUCGGUCACCGGCAUAUUUAACAUGUCAGCAAUGCAGCGUGAAUAGCUUGACCAUGAAAACUGCGUAGGAUGACCCGAGCUAAUUACACUCAUUAAAGCCCUCAUGACAGCUGAAAGAGAAAACAAAGACACAAAGUUUGAAGCCACAAGUUGGAUGAUGAGGACAUGAAAAAAUUGUUAUAACAGAAUGAAUUACCUAUGAGCCGAGGUACAAAAAAAAAGUGAGGCCUUCCUCGUUUGUGCAGGUAGAAUCAAGGUUAAAGCGAAGGGUAAAUUUUCAGAGGGCUUAUUUCAACCCAACUGUAUGGAAAUGUUAUUGCUGUAUUGAACUGUGCUUUGGUGAAAAACGAGUGUAUGUGUGUAGGUGGAGGCCAGAGUGAUGCAGCAGUGAGUUCAGAAGGUCCCCAGUUUUCUCAGUCACUCUGCCAAGAAGAAACUAUACGAAUGCAAUCAUAGAGACAGAAGAAAACACAGACCAUCUCUCAAGGGUACUUCUAUGCAUCUGAGGUCACCAGAUUCACUUUUUUCCUUGUGUCUUUGAGCAUUCACACUCUGUAGCUUUGUGCUGAUUCUGUAUAUGGAAGGUUAAAGGCUGCCUUGCUUCAGGGUUAAAUGUUGUCAGCUUUUAUCUUAUGUCUCUCCAUCAGGCCAGUUGUUAAGUGACUCCUCAUUCCAGUACCAGCUACGUGCUUGUAUGUAAAUGCCUCUGCAUAAAUUGUGUAAGCAGGCAGACCUUAGAUGACUCCAAAUUUCAAGAUGAAGAAGAAGAACUUUUUUGAGUCAUCUUAUCAUGGGAGAUGUUUCAUGUAAAAAAAGCCCUUGUUAAGGUGAAUCCAUAUAGGGAUGGUGCAACCGGCAAAAUUCCUGGAUGAAGCAUGAAAGUCAUUACACAGGGUUACAUUACACUCUCGUCCCUAGUUUGGCUUCAACAUAAACGGUAUAAUUAAAAUGUACAACAUUUGAUAUCAUAGAAUCACAGGUAACCAUAGAAACUAACAUAACAAUAAAACUGUUUAUCAUAAAAUAAAUACACCCAAAAUAUAUAUAUGUUAAUAUAAACUAUCAGAUUUAAAAUACUACAUGUUUAAAAUGAACCUAGCGCUUGGGAUAGUUUUAUUUUAAUUCCAGAAUUAACAGGCCAUAAUGCAGAGGGCUGAUUGUCUAAAUUUAGAUCUACAAUUCUAUAUGUUAUGGUUUCCAAUUAUAGUGCUGUUAGAUACUCUGUAACUGCCCUGUAUUCACACAUAUCUGCAAAUAGGGGGGUAAUAGGGGAUUCAGGGGCUAAAUUGUCGAUAAAUUUGAAAACUAGUUUGAGAUUAAAUAAAUGCAUAAAACUCCAAAACUGAAUUGAUGAUAAUUUGUGUCAGUAAUGCCAAAGCUGGAGUCCUGUGUCUGUGAUAUGUGGGGCCCGGCUGUAUGUAUAAGAGAGUAGGGUUUCUGACUGUAGAGGGUGAAGCUUCAACCUAUACAGUUAUACAAAAUAAUAGAUUAGAGGAAGUAAGAGUAUACAUGAAAACUGGUCUAUUUGGUUUGAUAUUCAUCUUGUCUGUUUUCAAAAUGCUCCUCACACGUUGAUCAACUGUUCCUGAGAACGUAAAAUCAGUCCCCCGCUCUAUUGCUUGAUUCUCUAUCUCAAUCGUGAGAUUUUCAGGUGAGCAUCGUUUUCUAGUGGGACAAUACCAACACCACCGUAAAGGUCAUCAUAUUUGACAUUUUUUUAUAAGAAGACAUUAUUUUAUGUUGUACAAAAUACAGACAUGCUGUUGAACAGUUAGCAUAAAAUUUAACUCGAUCCAUAAUUGUAUUCAGUCAGGCCUGAACUUCAUUGUAUUGUUAUGUUAGUUUGUACCCUUUAAUGUCAACUCUGUGUUUACGUUGUGUUGUUUUUGCUUCACCUGUCAGUAAGUGAGACUGUGUCAGUUUGUCGCUGGCCCACACUGUAGUAUCUCAUCAACUUUUGACUGUUGUUUUACAGAUUUCCAUGCUGACUUUUGAAGAUGAGUCCCAAUGACUUUAGUUUUUUCUCAAGAGCCAGGAACAGGUAAUAUUUUUCUUUUAUCCACUGACACAUACCAAUAUCAAUCAGUUGAACUGGCACACAGUUUUACACAUUCAUGGUUACCAGCUAAUGAAGGACGUGCUGAUUGGGAUCCAACAUUUGUGGCUUUAUAAUGAGUGUUACAACAUCUACUGAGAGGAAUUCCAUUAUUUUCAUGUUCCUCUGUAAUCCCUAAAUUUGUCAUCCAGCACCAUCAUCUGAUCAAAAUUUGAAUCUGUGCUUCCAGUACUUUGCUUAAUAACCAAACACAUGCCGAAUAGAGGGAGACCUGCAAGCUAGUUUAGGCUGGCACCUUCAGCUGCACUGAUUUAGCAUUUGUCAGUUGUCAUACUAUCACAUGACACACAUUUGACAGUCUAUUUAAGCUGACAGAUUUCUGGUAUCUGCCUCUGAUCUGCCAUUGACACUGCUGCUUUGAACCAGGGUUGCACUCAGAUUUCUCAGCCCCACCAGUACUUCAGCAUUCACCUCCAGGCUUCAGCUAGGGAGCUUAUGAUACUGUCUCAUCACUUCUCUAACUUUGGUAAAAAAAAAAAAAAAACGUGGCAGUGAUGAUGUUGGCGAACAAACGCCAAACACAAUCAAUGUUCCCCAGCUUUAAUAAACAUUUCAAAUCACUUAAACAUGAGUUGUCUAAAUGAACUAAUGAUUUUAUCAACCUCAGCUCUGCUUACAAGAAUGCAGGACAUCUUAAUUGAAAUGUAGGACACUCUGCCUAAAGUCACCACAUUAGCAUUAUCUUCAUGAGCAUGUUAGCAUGCUGGUGAUACAGUUUGACUCACAACACGGCUGUUUUCCACUUUGCAUGCAGCCUCGUGGUACUGCUAGCAUAGCUGUAGACUAGAGAUUGGCUGUGUCCAAAAUGAAUCACUCAAUCCCUAACCCCUAACCCCCAUAUGGGAUUUUACUAUAUAGCUG
rnacentral:lncRNA from 1 species